rnacentral:rRNA from 1 species
GACGAACGCUGGCGGCGUGCCUAAUACAUGCAAGUAGAACGCUGAAGGAGGAGCUUACUUCUCUGGAUGAGUUGCGAACGGGUGAGUAACGCGUAGGUAACCUGCCUGGUAGCGGGGGAUAACUAUUGGAAACGAUAGCUAAUACCGCAUAAGAGUAGAUGUUGCAUGACAUUUACUUAAAAGGUGCAAUUGCACCACUACCAGAUGGACCUGCGUUGUAUUAGCUAGUUGGUGGGGUAACGGCUUACCAAGGCGACGAUACAUAGCCGACCUGAGAGGGUGAUCGGCCACACUGGGACUGAGACGCGGCCCAGACUCCUACGGGAGGCAGCAAUAGGGAAUCUUCGGCAAUGGACGGAAGUCUGACCGAGCAACGCCGCGUGAGUGAAGAAGGUUUUCGGAUCGUAAAGCUCUGUUGUAAGAGAAGAACGAGUGUGAGAGUGGAAAGUUCACACUGUGACGGUAUCUUACCAGAAAGGGACGGCUAACUACGUGCCAGCAGCCGCGGUAA